rnacentral:rRNA from 1 species
AUGACAUCCCUGGCGACGGCGCCGGCGCCGGCGGCGUCGGGCGGGCGGGAGGGCGACGAGAUGGUGAUCACGCCGCUCGGCGCGGGCAGCGAGGUGGGCCGCUCCUGCGUCCACCUGAGCUUCAAGGGGCGCACAGUCCUAUUCGACUGCGGCAUCCACCCGGCGUACCCCGGCAUGGCGUCGCUGCCCUUCUUCGACGAGAUCGACCCCGCCGCCGUCGACGUCCUCCUCAUCACGCACUUUCACCUGGACCACGCGGCCGCGCUGCCAUACUUCCUGGAGAAGACCGCGUUCAAGGGCCGAGUCUUCAUGACCCACGCCACCAAGGCCAUCUACAGGCUGCUGCUCUCCGAUUACAUCAAAGUCAGCAAGGUGUCCGCCGAGAACAUGCUGUUUGACGAGCAGGAUAUUGUCAGCUCAAUGGAAAAAAUUGAGGUCAUAGACUUCCACCAGACACUGGAAGUUAAUGGCAUACGCUUCUGGUGCUAUACUGCUGGGCAUGUACUUGGAGCUGCCAUGUUCAUGGUGGAUAUUGCUGGCGUUCGCAUUCUUUACACUGGUGACUACUCCCGUGACAGGCACCUGAAAGCUGCUGAGAUCCCCCAGUUCUCCCCUGAUAUUUGCAUUAUCGAGUCAACUUACGGUGUGCAGCGACACCAACCCCGCCAUGUCAGAGAGAAGCGCUUCACUGAUGCCAUCCACAACAUUGUUUCUCAAGGGGGCCGUGUUCUUAUCCCAGCAUUUGCUCUUGGUAGAGCACAGGAGCUGCUGCUUAUCCUAGAUGAGUAUUGGUCCAACCACCCAGAGCUCCAUAAGAUUCCAAUCUAUUACGCCUCCCCUCUUGCGAAGAAGUGUAUGGCUGUCUACCAGACAUACAUAAACUCCAUGAAUGACAGGAUCCGCAACCAGUUUGCACGGUCCAAUCCCUUCCAUUUCAAGCAUAUUGACCCUUUGAGUAGCAUAGACAACUUCCAUGAUGUUGGUCCGUCAGUGGUGAUGGCAAGUCCAGGUAGCCUCCAAAGUGGCCUCUCCAGGCAGCUCUUUGACAAGUGGUGCACAGAUAAGAAGAACACAUGUGUUAUUCCAGGUUAUGCUGUUGCUGGCUCCCUUGCAAAGGAGAUCAUCACUGAGCCGAGAAAAGUGCAGCUAGCAAAUGGGCUCACUGCUCCUCUCAACAUGCAGAUCUUCUACAUCUCCUUUUCAGCUCACGCGGAUUUCCCACAGACGAGCGGCUUCCUGGGCGAGCUUCGACCAGCCAACAUCAUUCUUGUACACGGGGAAGCAAAUGAGAUGGGGAGGCUCAGACAGAAGCUGAUCACUCAGUUCGAGGGAACAGACACACAGAUCGUGUCUCCCAAGAACUGCCAACCAGUGCAGCUGUAUUUCAGCUCUGACAAGAUGGCCAAGGCAAUUGGCAGAUUGGCAGAAAAGGUGCCAGAAGUGGGGGAUUCUGUCAGUGGCUUGCUUGUGAAGAAGGGCUUCACGUACCAGAUUAUGGCUCCUGAGGACCUCCGGGUGCACACACAGCUAUCUACCACCAACAUUACCCAGCGGCUCGCUGUCCCGUAUUGUGGUUCUUUUGAAGUCAUCAAGUACAGACUGAGGCAAAUAUACGAGAGCGUGGAAUCAUCAACCGACGAAGCCGAUGUUCCAACACUGAUUGUUCAUGAGAGGGUGACCAUCCGCCUGGAUUCAGAGAGCUACGUGACGCUACAGUGGUCCUCUGAUCCCAUAAGCGACAUGGUGUCUGAUUCCGUGGUGGCUAUGAUCUUGAACAUAGGGCGUGAGGGACCAAAGGCCGUUCCAAUGGAAGAGGAAACAGAGAUGGUGGCGCAGAAGGUGGUGUACGCUCUCAUGGUGUCGGUCUUCGGCGACGUUCAAGUGGCGGGGGAAGGGAAGCUUGUUAUAACUGUGGAUGGGGAUGUCGCGCACUUGGAUGGGAGGAGCGGUGACGUUGAGUGCGCGAACGCAGCGCUGAAAGGGAGGAUCGAGACCGCGUUCCAUCGCAUUCAGGGUGCUGUGAGACCAAUCCCGCUGUCGGCCUCCUGA